UGAACGCUGGCGGCGUGCCUAAUACAUGCAAGUCGAGCGCGCCCUUCGGGGUGAGCGGCGGACGGGUGCGUAACGCGUAGGAAUCUACCUUAUAGUGGGGGACAACUCGAGGAAACUCGAGCUAAUACCGCAUAAUCCUUACGAGGGAAAGCAGGGGAUCUUCGGACCUUGUGCUAUUAGAUGAGCCUGCGUCGGAUUAGCUUGUUGGUAGGGUAAUGGCCUACCAAGGCAACGAUCCGUAGCUGGUCUGAGAGGACGACC
rnacentral:rRNA from 1 species